CCAGAACCCUUUGUGAACUUAUACCCAUACUGUUGCCUCGGCGCAGGCCGGCCCCUGCUGCAGGGGCCCCCUGGGGACAGGGAGCAGCCCGCCGGCGGCCAACCAAACUCUGUUUCUAUAGUGGAUCUCUGAGUAAAAAAACAUAAAUGAAUCAAAACUUUCAACAACGGAUCUCUUGGUUCUGGCAUCGAUGAAGAACGCAGCGAAAUGCGAUAAGUAAUGUGAAUUGCAGAAUUCAGUGAAUCAUCGAAUCUUUGAACGCACAUUGCGCCCUCUGGUAUUCCGGAGGGCAUGCCUGUUCGAGCGUCAUUUCAACCCUCAAGCCUGGCUUGGUGAUGGGGCACUGCCUGUGAAAGGGCAGGCCCUGAAAUCUAGUGGCGAGCUCGCCAGGACCCCGAGCGUAGUAGUUACAUCUCGCUCUGGAAGGCCCUGGCGGUGCCCUGCCGUUAAACCCCCAACUUCUGAAAAUU
rnacentral:rRNA from 1 species